CCUACGGGGGGCAGCAGUGGGGAAUAUUGGACAAUGGGCGAAAGCCUGAUCCAGCCAUGCCGCGUGUGUGAAGAAGGCCUUCGGGUUGUAAAGCACUUUCAGUGGGGAAGAAAGCCUUGGGGCUAAUACCCUCGAGGAAGGACAUCACCCACAGAAGAAGCACCGGCUAACUCUGUGCCAGCAGCCGCGGUAAUACGGAGGGUGCGAGCGUUAAUCGGAAUUACUGGGCGUAAAGCGCGCGUAGGCGGUCUGAUAAGUCGGUUGUGAAAGCCCCGGGCUCAACCUGGGAACGGCAUCCGGAACUGUCAGGAUAGAGUGCAGGAGAGGAAGGUAGAAUUCCCGGUGUAGCGGUGAAAUGCGUAGAGAUCGGGAGGAAUACCAGUGGCGAAGGCGGCCUUCUGGACUGACACUGACGCUGAGGUGCGAAAGCGUGGGUAGCAAACAGGAUUAGAUACCCCAGUAGUC
rnacentral:rRNA from 1 species